CGGCAUAUGACGAUAAUUAUUAGUGUACGAGCUACCCUCUACUUACAAAGGACCUAUUAUUAGUACGAACACGUAUUACCAUCGGGUUCUCCGCUUAUGAUCCGUAAGUGAUUUUCACCAUAAGCGUCCGAGGAAAGUAUCGGUAAAUUGAGUACUUGAGCACGAAGAAGACGUCAGCAUGACAGCUCUUUCUUCUUACCUGCAUUUAAGCUUUCAAAUUUCAAGGACGCAGCGGAUGUAUCUACGCUGUCCGGAAGGGUCACACAGCGGCGAAUCCGUAGAUCGUGAUUAAUGGAGCGGGCCGGACGAGGAUCUACGUGCCGACGAAUCGAGGAGCGCUUAGCGUGAAAUUUACCCGAUGAAUUGUUCUCACAAUUAUCAUGAUCUACGGGUUCUUGGGGAUCCAAGAAACACGAAAGUCUCGAAGCAGUCAGCUAAUCUCUGUUCGGCGAACCCUUCACUUUGGCCACCCUCUUCCUCAGCCGCUGGCAUCACUUUUCGGGGCACCUUCUCACCCACACCGGCGAUACUUUUCGGCGAGGAACGUCGACGCAAGAAUCUCGGAAAUUUUUAAGUCGAUCGCGAAACUAUAAUUAUCCUUUAGGCUAUGCGCGGAGUAUGCAGCGAGUAGGUGCGCGCCGACCUUCACAACACGGUUGCCCGCGUCGAGACUUUACGUCUGCUUCUUUCUUUUACGAUGGCCCACAAUAUGAAUUUGCCUACGGUUUUCGGCUAAGAGUUUAGCGGGAGCUGCCAGAAGCAACAAUAGCUCUAUAAAGAUUAUUAUUCUCGAUUAUUUUAAUCUAUGCAUACGUAAUGUGUGAUUCUUCAUACAUAGAUAUAUUGUUAUGUAUGUAUAAAGAAUUAUUAUGGUAUGAUAUAAAUUUAAAUAAUGUAGUAUAAGAGAAUAAUAAUCUAAUGUAUAUAUGUGAGAUUUUCUCAAAUCUUAGGAAAAUUGAACUAUUAAAAUUUUCUAAAAUAUCGUUAUACAAUCAAAUAUUACUCAUGAAAUAUCGAGAGUAAAGAUUAUUAUUCUCGAUUAUUUUAAUCUAUGUCGUAUGCAUACGUAAUGUGUGAUUCUUCAUUACAUAGAUAUAUUGUUAUGUAUGUAUAAAGAAUUAUUACGGUAUGAUAUAAAUUUAAAUAAUGUAGUAUAAAAGAAUAAUAAUCUAAUGUAUAUAUGUGAGAUUUUCUCAAAUCUUAGGAAAAUUGAACUAUUAAAAUUUCCUAAAAUAUCGUUAUACAAUCAAAUAUCACUCAUGAAAUAUCGAGAGUAGAGUAAUAAAAUCAAUUUAAGGUAAAAUGAUGUGAAAUGUUUUUGUACAGAUUUUUUUCUUAACAUCAUCAUCUAGAUAGACUUUUGAGAAGAAAGGGAAUUGGUUAUAUGCCACCGGUUUCAUUUUAUGAUAUCUCGUGUCGAUAUUAUUUUUUUGGCUAGCCGACGCAAGUUUUUUUUUUCUCUCGCUAUAGAACCGCUUUUAUUCCGCUUUGCGGACAGAUUGAUCAUCGACGAAGACAGAACGCUGCUAGACACUUUCAAGUAUCUUCCGAGGUUGCUUCCCCACAUUAUAGAAGAAUUUUGGAUGUUCGUGCAAAGUGAUUUAUGAAGGAUUUCUUGCCCGAGCUAAAAACCAUUUUGACCGGUGCAACGGCAAUCUCGGUCACGGUGAUUUGAUCAAAUCAACCCUACGUUAUUAUCUGCAAUUAAUGAAAAUUGCGAGGAUUAUCGCGUGAGUAAUAUCGUUUGUGAUUUACAAGAGAAGAAAUUUAGUUUUGAAUAAAGAAGCACGUCAUAACUUAAA